rnacentral:lncRNA from 1 species
CGGGAUCUCGCGGCGGUAGCGCUCGGAGUAGAGCAGGUUGAGGUUGCUGCGGUCGAGGCGCAUGCCCAGCCCCGGCACCUUGUUGUUGAUCUUGAGGUAGAUGGCCUCGUCGGGCUGCACCCGGAGCACCAGCUCGUUGGUCGCCUUGUCCAGGUCCGUGCCGAUGUUCCGCCGGUACAGGUUCCCCGGCACGCGCCGGAACUGCACCCGGAUCUCCGCGCUGCAACGCAACGCAUUCCUUCCGGUCAAUUAAUCAACAUCCUUUCAGGUGAAGAAGCCCAGAAACGCACCGUCGUGUGUGCAGCGCCUUGCCGGCCUUCAUGAGGAACGGCACGCCGUCCCAGCGCGCGUUGUCGAUGAAGAGCGCGGCGGCGG